rnacentral:rRNA from 1 species
GAUGAACGCUGGCGGCGUGCCUAAUACAUGCAAGUCGAGCGAACGGACGAGGAGCUUGCCUCUCUGAUGUUAGCGGCGGACGGGUGAGUAACACGUGGAUAACCUACCUUUAAGACUGGGAUAACUUCGGGGAACCGUAGCUAAUACCGGAUAAUAUUUUGAACCGCAUGGUUCAAAAGUGAAAGACGGUCUUGCUGUCACUUAUAGAUGGAUCCGCGCUGCAUUAGCUAGUUGGUAAGGUAACGGCUUACCAAGGCAACGAUGCAUAGCCGACCGGAGAGGGUGAUCGGCCACACUGGAACUGAGACACGGUCCAGACUCCUACGGGAGGCAGCAGUAGGGAAUCUUGCGCAAUGGGCGAAAGCCUGACGGAGCAACGCCGCGUGAGUGAUGAAGGUCUUCGGAUCGUAAAACUCUGUUAUUAGGGAAGAACAUAUGUGUAAGUAACUGUGCACAUCUUGACGUUACCUAAACAGAAAGCCACGGCUAACUACGUG